ACGAACGCUGGCGGCGUGCCUAACACAUGCAAGUCGAGCGAGGCCCAUCCGGUGGCAACACCGGGGAAGGCCUAGCGGCGAACGGGUGAGUAACACGUGAGGAACCUGCCCCAGAGACUGGGAUAACAGCUGGAAACGGCUGCUAAUACCGGAUACCGUCAUUGGACCGCAUGGUCCGCUGACGAAAUGGAUUCCGCUCUGGGAGGGCCUCGCGGCCUAUCAGCUUGUUGGUGGGGUAACGGCCCACCAAGGCUCCGACGGGUAGCUGGUCUGAGAGGACGAUCAGCCACACUGGGACUGAGACACGGCCCAGACUCCUACGGGAGGCAGCAGUGGGGAAUCUUGCGCAAUGGGCGAAAGCCUGACGCAGCAACGCCGCGUGCGGGAUGACGGCCCUCGGGUUGUAAACCGCUUUCAGCAGGAACGAAUCUGACGGUACCUGCAGAAGAAGCCCCGGCCAACUACGU
rnacentral:rRNA from 1 species